UGUUGUAUGUUUGUUUAUUAAUAUAUAUACCAAUUCAUAUGAGGACAAGUAUAUUCUUUCUUUCAAUUUCUGCUUUUUUCCUUCUUUUCAAAUAUCUUUAGACACAAGGUUAGGUCAAGUUAGGUUAGGUUAGCAUAGGUCAAGUUACUAGGUCAGGUCAGGUUAAGUGCAGGGUAACAUUUAAAUAUCUCUGUUUUAUUUUUGUUUAUCCUUCAAAUUUUCUUCCCUUUUUCUAGUUUCACAAAAGACACAAGGUUAGGUCAAGUUAGGUCAGCUGUUGUAUGUUUGUUUAUUAAUAUAUAUUCCAAUUCAUAUGAGGACAAGUAUAUUUUCUUUCAAUUUCUGUUUUUUUCCUUUUCAAAUAUCUUUAGACACAAGGUUAGGUCAAGUUAGGUUAGGUUAGCAUAGGUCAGGUUACUAGGUUAGGUCAAGUUAGGUCAGGUCAGGUUAGGGUGGAGGGGCACUCUUUUAAAUAUGUAUCUAUGUUUAUCAAUGUUUUUACAGAUCUUCUUUUUCUUAUUCUUUUCUUUCUUUGUUUAUCAGAAUUCAUAUAGACCUUCUUCUUCUUCUUCUUCUUCUUCUUUCUUUCUUCCUUUGUAUAUGUGUAUCUGAAUUUAUAUAGAUGUUCUUGUCACUCUAUUAAAUAUGUCUGUGUUUGUGAGAAGAUUUAUACAGAUCUUUUCUUUUCUUUCUUUGUUUAUCAGAAUUUAUAUAGACGAUCUUGUUCCACUCUUUCCUUCCCUCUGUUUCAUGUUAUCGGGAGUUUGACAGAUAAGGAAGAGGAGAAGGAGGAAGAGGAAGAGGAGGAGGAGGAAAGGAAUAUGAAAUGCAGAACUGAAGAAGAGGAGGAGAAAGAAGAGGA